UUUAAUUCGAAGCAACGCGAAGAACCUUACCUAAGCUUGACAUCCCAAUGACAUCUCCUUAAUCGGAGAGUUCCCUUCGGGGACAUUGGUGACAGGUGGUGCAUGGUUGUCGUCAGCUCGUGGCGUGGGAUGUUGGGUUAAGUACCGCAACGAGCGCAAACCUUGUCUUUAGUUGCCAUCAUUAAGUUGGGCACUCUAGAGA
rnacentral:rRNA from 1 species